AAGUUAUAAUGAGGACACCUCCUCAUUAAAUCCUUGAAUCUGUUCCAAGCUCCACACAUAGUUUCACCCUCUAACUGAGUGAAAUUGGUAAUAUCAUUCACCAUCUAAUUAU